rnacentral:misc_RNA from 1 species
GAUGAGAACGCAGCGAAAUGCGAUACGUAAUGUGAAUUGCAGAAUUCAGUGAAUCAUCGAGUCUUUGAACGCACAUUGCGCCCCCUGGUAUUCCGGGGGGCAUGCCUGUCCGAGCGUCAUUGCUGCCCUCAAGCACGGCUUGUGUGUUGGGCCUCCGUCCUCCUCCCGGGGGACGGGCCCGAAAGGCAGCGGCGGCACCGCGUCCGGUCCUCGAGCGUAUGGGGCUUCGUCACCCGCUCUUGUAGGCCCGGUCGGCGCUUGCCGACACAUCAAUCUUUUUUCCAGGUUGACCUCGGAUCAGGUAGGGAUACCCGCUGAACUUAAGCAUAUCAAUAAGCGGAGGA